ACUCAGGCUUGAGUGUUCUUUCCUUCCUUAAUCCUCACUCCCCAACUCAGGCAUGUUCAUGAUGUGAUGUCUGGACUGCCACAAGUGGCGCCCAAACAGGGACCUGAGUAUCGAGGGAUCCAGUGAAGGACACCGCAGAGAAGAACAAGGCCUCAACAAAAAGGUAAAGAAAGAUAUACAAGACCAGAAGGCCUAAGUAUAUAGAGAAGGAAAGGCCUUACCCUUCUCUUCAAGGGUUGAAUAUAGCAGUAGAGCUCCCCUUUCUGUAGGAUCAGCAGGGAAGAAGAGCCUGGGACCAAGGAAACUGAAGGGCCUGGAUCCCCUUCAGAGCCCCAACUGUCCACGAUGCAGGCAGGUGGCCUAGGUUUGCCCAGUCAGAUGUCACAGCCCAGAAUUCUGAACCUUGUGAUGGAGAAGCAAAGUCAGCUGUGGAGGAGCAGCAGCCCCAGGAGCCCACCAGCAGCACCUCGGGGAGUCUGGUGUCACAAUGUCUGCCGCACCUCCUGAGAAGAUUGGUUUUGUGUCCCGGCCACGGUGUGAUGUUCCCUGCAGCUCAUCCUUUGACUUCCAACUCGUUUUCCAAGCCUAGGACUCCAGCCUUUCCACUGAUCCCAGAAUAGCCCUGAAUGUUUUAAAUUAAUUUUUAAAAUUCCUGUCUUCUUUAGUUGAUUGUGGUGUGCAUGUGUGUGUGUGUGUGUGUGUGUGUGUGUAUGUGUGUGUGUGUAAGAAACAGAGACUGAGACCUAAAAUUCCUAAAAAUGAGAAGAAAAAAAAACCUCAGAGCAACUCCAUAGACAAUAUUUCAAGUCAAAUUUUAUGGAAAACUAGACAAAAAAUGUGAAAAAUUAUACAUUGUAACCUUUCACCUAAAGUGACCAUCUUAAUAACCUAGGCCUCUAGAUUAAACAUAACACCGGGAAAGCACAGAAGAUGCCAAUUAAGCUCAACAUGUCCUGGCUGAGGCUGACCUUCCCCCUGCUGAUACCACUGGCAGGUACAGCAGCUACAGAAAGAAAAUCAGAGUGUGAAAUUAAACCAUUGCUCUGACUCUUCUUUUUAUAAUGAAAAUUCCUUUCCCUCUUGAGUGGGGGUGGGGGUACCCUCCUUCCAGUAGAGUGUGUGCCUCACCUCACAAAGGCCAGUGGCAGGAUAGGCUGACCUUUUCUGGUGCCCAAGUGCUCCAAGGAUGGCCAAACGGCAGCUAAGCAGUACUCCUGAGAGAGGUUCAGCUGUGAUGCAGUAACCUUAAGGAAACAUACAGGCAAACCCAAACUGAUAUCUGAGACUCUUGAAAAAUAGCAAUAUGAGAGCUGGGAAUGUAGCUCAGCAGUGAAGUGCCUGCCUGGUAUUCAAGGUCCCAGGGUCAAUCCUAAAUAUGGCAGAGAGAGAGAGAGAAGAGGAAUGAGAAUAUCAUCAAAGACUAUAUAAAGUGCCCCCCCAGGCUCAAGUAUUGAGGGAUUGAUUUGCAGUGCAGCAAUGUUCAAAGAUGGGGACUGGAAUAGUUGAUGGGCGAUUAGAAGAGGGAGGCCCAGUUACUUGACAGAGGUCAGUUUCUUUAAGGGUGAACCUGUCACCAGCCUCUUCCUUUCUCUCUGGCUCUUCCCACCUCUCUACUUCCUGCAGCAGCAGUAAGAUGAGCAGUUCCCCAACGCAACCUCCCACAGUGACAUUUGUUCCCUGGGACCUCUGGCCAUGGCUGUAACCCUGGAAACUCUGAGCCAAAAUAAAUAUUUAUUAUUUUUAAAUUGUUUUUCUCAGGUAUUUGGUCACAACCACAAAAGCUGACUAAAACAAAUACCAAAAAAAAUGAGAAUAGAAAACCCUACUUUUUUAGAAUAAGAGAAUCUAGGUAGGCACAACAAACAAAUAUAAUGCAUAAUCUGCAGUUGGAUCCUGAAUCAAACAAAAAGCCAUAGAGCACAUUAUUGGGAGAGUGAAAUUUAAUACGGGCUAAAUAUUAAAUAAUCAUAUUUUAUUAAUACACAAUUUUUUGAAUGAUAUCUAUAUCAUGUAGGAGUUUUGUGCUAAAACUAAAUGCUACAUCUACAAUUCAUUCUUAACUUCUUCAAAUAAAAGUGUGAGAAAAACAAAAUAAAUGGAGUAAAAUGUCUACAGGAAGAUGUUCAUUAUCUCUUUUUUGACUUGCUUCCUAUCCCCACUGUUAA